AAGCCAAUGAGGUGUUUUUAAAUAUUUGGAAUUACCGUCUGAACAUUUACAUUGAUGUCAAUUCGGCUGUCUGAGGCUUCGU